UUAUGCUAACAUAUAGUAACAUACAUGUCUAUUACUGUAUUUAGCUCAGUUACAGGAGAUAUUACUACCAAGCCAGACAUAGAAUGGUUAGAUGGUGCUUAUCACCUCUUGCCUACUUGUUAGAAUCUAACCUGUCCUUUAAGACCCAGCUCAAAGACCUCCUCCUUGAUUUGACAUGUUCUGAUGUCUCCUACCAGAACUCCUUGACUAAUCUCCAUGAUCAUUUUUCUCCUUUCUUAGAACAUAUCGUAUGCUGCCUUACAGUACUGAGGUUAUGCACCUGACUCCUGCCCUAGCCUAAGUUGUAAAACUGGGAUGUCUUUGUUAACAAGUCUUGAAAGGCGCUUUAAAAAGGAUAGUAAGUAGUUAUAUUAUAAAAAUUACAGAGACAGGAUAAACAACAACAUACAGAAAACCUGUUCAAAUAUCACUCAAAUGAAUACAGUCCUGUACUUCUUAAUGACAGGAAUAUGUUCUGAGAAAUUGUGUCAUUAGGCAGUUUCAUCCUUGAGCAAACAUCAGAGAAUUGUACUUACACAUACCUAGUUAGUCUUGCCUGCCA